rnacentral:rRNA from 1 species
UCAGAUUGGACGCGGCGGCAUGCUUAACACAUNCAAGUCGAACGUGAAGGCACUUCGGUGUGAGUAGAGUGGCGGACGGGUGAGUAACGCGUGGGAAUCUACCCAGUAGUGGGGGACAACUACCGGAAACGGUAGCUAAUACGGCAUACGCCCUAUGGGGGAAAGGCUUCGGCCGCUAUUGGAUGAGCCCGCGUCAGAUUAGCUAGUUGGUAGGGCAAAGGCCUACCAAGGCAACGAUCUGUAGCUGGUCUGAGAGGACGAACAGCCACACUGGGACUGAGACACGGCCCAGACUCCUACGGGAGGCAGCAGUGGGGAAUAUUGGACAAUGGGCGAAAGCCUGAUCCAGCAAUGCCGCGUGUGUGAAGAAGGCCUGCGGGUUGUAAAGCACUUUCAGUUGGGAAGAUGAUGACGUUACCAACAGAAGAAGCACCGGCUAAAUCCGUGCCAGCAGCCGCGGUAAUACGGAUGGUGCGAGCGUUAAUCGGAAUUACUGGGCGUAAAGCGCGCGUAGGCG